UACGUAGGGUGCGAGCGUUGUCCAGAUUUAUUGGGUUUAAAGGGUGCGCAGGCGGCAUAUUAAGUUAGUAGUUAAAGACAGCGGCUCAACCGUUGCGCGGCUAUUAAAACUGAUAAGCUUGAGUCCGUCAGAGGAAAUUAGAAUGCGUGGUGUAGCGGUGAAAUGCAUAGAUAUCACGCAGAAUACCAAUUGCGAAGGCAGAUUUCUAUGGCGGAACUGACGCUGAGGCACGAAAGCGUGGGGAGCGAACAGG
rnacentral:rRNA from 1 species